AAAAGAUUUAGUUUAAAAUAAAACAUUAAUUUGUCAAAUUAAAAUUAUUAAAUUAAUAAUCUUUUU
rnacentral:tRNA from 1 species